UUAUUCAAACUCAGUGAACCAAAUCGUGUCCCUAAAAUUUAAGUCUGGAGAAAAAUUUUAAAUUUUUAAUAAAAAGUUUCUCUGUAUUUUCAGCAGCACAGUAAUUUAAACAGCCAGACAUCAUCCAAAACCCUUCAGGAAUUGUUCUUCUCCCCACAGAUUUCAUGUUCCCAGCAAUCUCUGUACAAAGCUGUCAGCUCUAAGUGCGCUGGGAGACAAUAUUGGCAUUGGCAUGUACCCAGUACAAAAAUAAGUGGAGAAACGGACAUACAAGUGAAGUCCCAUUUAAAGCAUCAUUUGGAGCAUCGCCUUGCUUGAAGGCUAAAGCAGUCUGUUGGACGUCAGGCAGCACUUGAGGAUGAAAGUCGAGCUGCCUUGGGAAAUACAGAGGCUUUUACUCUGAGGUCCAAAGAAAAAACCUGCAGAUGCAUGCAAAUUCCAGUGCACUUUCAGAUGGAUUUCCACAGAAGGAUAAAACCUGUUUAUCAGAAGAGGAGUUAUUCUUCAAAAGGCACAUGACAGCAAUAAAGAGAAGGGUAAAUGUAAAUAUUUGGGUCCUACCAACACUGAGAACAGAUGAAAUACCUCGCUUGAAGAGCCCUAAGAUUAGUGAUGACAAGGGAGACAACAGAGCGAUGACAGACUCAUUGAAGAGUGCUUUGUUAGAAACUGUUUGUUUAGCUGAAAAUGAGCAUUCCAGUCAGGAUAAUGGAGGAGACAGACCUGUCUACAGUGAAUCCUCAUCACAAAGUACAGUUCAGUUGGAGCCCCAGUCUGCGAGCAGGGCUGAAAAAACAAAGUCUUCUACUCCUUUAAAAAAAGAAAAGGAGUACU